AGACACAAUCCCAGCAGCCGGAAGGUCAGGUGGAUAAUGGUGGGGUGAGGAGGAACAGCUCUUCCCCUCUCAGCUGUGGAAACUGCCCCUCUGAUAAACAACACCCCCAACCCCCUGGAACAAAACUAACAGGAAACCCCCGAGGGCAGGAUCCAGCUCCGGCACCCACCCUCCCCACCCAGCAUGGAGCUGACACCCGCCUCCCCUCCGGAGCAGGCGCUGUGUGUCCUGACCUGCAGGGUACCCCUCCGCAGCAGGCUGGUGACAUUCCUUGGUUCUCCUCUUCACAGAAAUGAUGAAGAAGCCCAGGCUUCUCCGGGAAGCGCUGGGUGCUCGGGCCGGGGUUCUGCCGCUCAUGUGGGCUCAUGGUCGGAGACGCCGAGUCUCUGGGGCUCUGAGAUAUUAACAAUCUGCCAUCGUCCCAGAUUCGCCUGUGGCUGCUCAGAUUUCCCCGGCCCGGAAGAAGCCGCCCAACAUGUUCCUCGGAACAGAAAUCCAGGAGCAGUUGCCCGGUCCAAGGGGAGAGCAAGCUGGCUUUGCUCGAGUUUGCUUUUUCUCAGGCUGCAGGCUUAGGGGCCCGGGCCUCCCGUUUUUGCAAAAUGGAUUGUCAGCCGAGUUGAUGAAACAAAAUUUGGGGUUUCAGAGGACACCACCCAGCAUAUCUUAGUAGAUCUUAUUUUUAAAGUCAUGCCAAAUCACUUCCAGGGAAAAAUUGAUCUGUCUCUGAUAGCUUUU
rnacentral:lncRNA from 1 species